AUAUUAUAACUGCAUAUAUGCUAAUUUUCUGUAAAUUAUUAUCUAUUUGAUUGCCCGAUUUUGUUUAGUUAAAGUGAUUAUUGCUUACCGGGCUGCUUAGCUCAUUAUACGAUUCUUUUUUAUUUUUUUAUAGAUUCAAAAAAUUAGCCUGAUUGGAUUUUUCAAUAUGGGAGAGCGACUAGAAGAACUUUGGCAAAAGUUAUCUUAAAGUAGAGUUUUAUUUAAUUGACAUACUACCUUAGAAUAUUGUUAGAAUUGUGAGAUAUUUAAAUGUCGAGCUAGUUAUUGAAAUAAAGUUUACAUAUUAUUAUUUAAAUUGUUCCAUUGCAUAUUUAUGAGAUCAUGUUGAGGUGCUCUGCAUGCCUGUGGAGAGAGUUUUCUAUGAGUAUGCGGCGGUUGACACGACCUUCGGUUCGUAAACUCGAGUUGGUGGCAUGACAUUAAGUGACCAAAAUCUGGAACUUUUAUUGGAGGGAAUGGGCAUUUGUUUUAGUAAAUUGUGAAGGCAUCAAUAUUCAUGGAGUUGCAAGAGUGUAGCAUGUCUACUGACUAUUAGAGCAUAUUGCUAUGGCACCAUGGAAAGGAGGAAGCCAAGCCAUCCUUUUAAAAGGAGGAACGAUAGGCCUUUAAGGCGAACUAAGGGGACUGCAAAUAACCAAAAUCUUAUAUAAACAUUGGGCAAAGCCACUUGAUGAAUGAAAAUAAUGCAAUUAUGCACUUCAUACAUGAGUUUAUGCUAGGGUUAUAGUAUGUGUGUGUGUGUGUGUGUGUGUGUGUGUGUGUAGUAAAUCUUGCAUUAUUGUUACCAAAUUAAGUAUACAUCAACCAUGCAUCUGAAGUGGGCCAUGGUGAGGCUCACUUUUGCAUGAUUGUCAAACCCAUCAACCACUUUUUGGAAAUUAGGCCCAAGAACUGUCAAACAUGGAGAAAGGAUACCAAAUUGUGGCUCCACUCAAAAUAGAUUCCCUUAAGCAAACAUGAUAUCAUGAAAUGCGAGCGCUAAGCUCGCUCACUUCAUCUAAUCUGGCAAUGAUAUGUGACCCAUGAUGAUGACUGGAGUUGCUAGUUAGUCUGGCAAACUGGCAUUCGAUUAGGACCCAACCUGGUUGAGAUUCCAUAUCGACUUGGAAUUAGACUUGUUAGAUCCAAGAGAAUAUGUAUGUGUAUAUACAUAUUAUAAUAUAUAUAUAUAUAUAUAGAGAGAGAGAGAGAGAGAUUGGGCUACACUCAAAUAGAUCUCCAUUUAGAUCCUGUCACGUUUGGAUUGGAUGAUGGAGGCCCCAUAUUGAUAAUAUAAGCUGUUGGAUAUGUUCCGCUAUCUCUACCUUGCUUACAUAUUAAAAAUCAUGUGAUUUGGAGAUAGCUAACAUAUAUAUCAAGUGGUUCAAAAAUGGAUAGUCUACAUAAUAUAAUAUAUAUAUAACUUGAUGUAUAGGUUAAAGAACUCUAAAUUUCAUAAUUUUUAGCAUGCAAGAAGUUUAAAGGCAGCAGAUCAUAUCCAAUAUCUCGGAUCGUUAUUGUGGGACCUCCAUUAUUUAAUGUAAAUCUCAUCGAAUUUAAGUUUUCAUUCGAGUGUAGCCAAGUUCAACUUGCUCUCUCUCUCUCUAUCUCUCUCUCUCUCUCUCUC
rnacentral:lncRNA from 1 species